GACAUGCAAGUGAGAGAGAAGGUUAGCACUCCCUUUGGUAAGGAUGGAAGAGGUGCUAGUGGCCUUUACAACAAAUGGAGCAUUAAGGCAUGGCCACCUACUUUAUGGCAUCUAACCAAGUAAUGUG
rnacentral:ncRNA from 1 species